AAGUCCAGUUCAGACCAAAUAUUCACAAUAUUUGCGGGGUUAGGGUUAGGGUUAGGUUUAAAAACCUUGAAAGCAUAAACACUCAUUCAAAGUACCUGGAAAAGGGAGAUGUAAAUAACCAUAACUUCUUCUCCCGUGGUUUCACUAACAAUGAGGCUCAGAGCUCCCCCCUCCCGCCACUGCGUGUAUUACAAAUCAAAUCACGCGAUCUCUCAAAAAAGGACCAACAGUUGGGUGGAUAUUUGCCUGUGACGGUGUGAACUAUGAACCUAACUAGUUCCCGCCUCCUCAGCACGAGCUGAACGAUAAAUCUAACACACCAAGAGAGGCGGGAGUUAAGGCAGAACAGCCAAUCAUCAGCCGGUCACACUCAAAGCUGGUGUCAUGUUUGAGGCAACAACAGGAGAGGGAGGGGGAGAGGGGGCAGCCGCAGCGAGCGCAGACACAGAGCGGCCAGAGAAACGGAGCGACUGUAGUAAGGCGUUUGCGCAAAACUGUGGAAAAACUGCAGAAAAAGUGUGGGUGUUUAACCCUCUCACCGGGAAAAGUGUGGGUGUUUUAACACCCACACUUUUCGUGACGCCCCUGGUUGAACCGUGUGAAGAGUCUCAGUCCGCACUUUUCAUCAGUCUGAUAGUUGCAGAAAAACAACGUUAAACUCUGUUCAGGAGCUGCAACAAGCAGUGGACCAGAAACUCCAACGUUCUCUGAGGUAAAAUCACUGUUUUUAUAAAUGCAGUCUGGCGGAGAGUGCGCAGAUGGAUAUAACGGCAUCAGAACGGGCUGUCUGACAGCAAGAGACAAAUCUUUGGUCUGAACUGAGCCAUGCAACGUGGAUCCUCGUUAUCUGAGUGACUUUCUGCAGAGAUAAUAAAGACAGCUGGACUGAAGUAUCACAUCAGUAUGAAUAUCAGUUGGCGACUGUCACCUUGCGCUUGGCGAGCUCCUCCAUCUUGUCCACGUUGGCCUGCAGUCUCUUCCUCUCCUGCUCCAGCUCUCUCACUCUCUUCUGCAGCUUCAUGAACAGACUGAUGUCCAUCGCAGCCUUCUCCACUCCCAUCUCCUGCAGGGGACAACAAAUCAAACAGUUAGCUUAGCAUCAGGCUUCAGCGGAGGACCCUGCCUUCGUUCCGCUCUUCCCUCCUCACGGACUCACCUCCACCAGCUGAAUGGAGUCCUCGGUGUCUCCGACCUCUGAGGUGGAGAUGGAUGGGUAGUUGGAGUCCGAUUCCAGGCUGCUCUGAUUGGACGGGUUCCUCCUGUGGCCGGGUUGGAACUGGAGGAUGAUGGGAGUAGAAGAGUUACUUCAUGUUGUGUUCUUUCAUGGAAAUAAUUAUUUACCAUGAUGUUGGGCUGUGUGGCAGUGAAGAGGAGCUCACCUUACUCAGGGACACCUCCUCCUUCAGGUUGUCGUAUCUCUGCUCCAGUCUGGAAAACUCUUUAAGAAGAUUCUGGUAACGCUGCCUCUCCUGAUCCAGCUCCUUCUGCAGAGACGCCUCCUUCUGAGACACACUGCUGCCGUCCUCUGAAACACACACACACACACACACACACACACACACAAACAUUAAGUCAUUUAGAAAGCAAAGCAUGUCUUAAUUCCAUAUGAUAGAGGUAUUUUAAAUUUAAAUAUAAAGACAAGCUUUGAACGGAAGAGUUAAUACCGUUCACGUGUUCUGGUUCAGGUCUUACCUUCAAAGCUCUUUGAGUGCUGAAGAAUCCUUUGGUUCAUCUCCUCUUUCUCACUUUUCAGCAGGGAGUUCUCUCUCUCCAGCUCCUCUACCCUCUGAGGAACAAAACACCAUCAGUAGCAUCCACCUCAGAGUUACAGGUAACAUCCAGACAGCAGCGAGAGAGGCUGUUUGAUUACUUACAAUAAGUUUUCUGCAAUGUUUAAAUUAGAGUUAUUCUGCAGCCAUUAAACUGUGGAAUCAACAAAUACCUCAUUAUGAUUAGUUAAAGCAAAACAUUUCAACUUUAAAUGUCCUCACCGGCUGAUUACUGAUCUAAUGACUGUUACGGUGCAGUUUGUUGUUGUUGUUGUUGUUGCUGUUGACAGUGACUGUCCGGCUGUGCUCUCACCUGUUGGAGCCCCAUUUUCUCCGUGCUGUGCUCCUCCUCCAGCCUCUUUCUCUGGGACGCCGCCUCCUGCAGCUCCUCCCUCAGCCUCUCCAGCUCCUCCUGCAGCGACGUCAGCUGACCCCCGUCACUCUGCUGACUGCGGACCUGCUCCAGCUGC